CUCCUACGGGAGGCAGCAGCAAGGAAUAUUGGGCAAUGGCCGAAAGGCUGACCCAGCGACGCCGCGUGGGGGAGGAAGGCCUUCGGGUUGUAAACCCCUUUUCUCAAGGAAGAAGAUGACGGUACUUGAGGAAGAAGCCCCGGCUAACUACGUGCCAGCAGCCGCGGUAAUACGUAGGGGGCGAGCGUUGUCCGGAAUUACUGGGCGUAAAGCGCGCGUAGGUGGCGCGUCAAGAUCGGCGUGAAAUCCCCGGGCUCACCUCGGGGGGGUCGUCGGUGACUGGCGUGCUUGGGUUCCGCAGAGGCAGGUAGAAUUCCCGGUGGAGCGGUGAAAUGCGUAGAGAUCGGGAGGAAUACCAGUGGCGAAGGCGGCCUGCUGGGCGGCAACCGACGCUGAGGCGCGAAAGCGUGGGGAGCGAACCGGAUUAGAUACCCGGGUAGUCCACGCCCUAAACGAUGGGUACUAGGCGUGGGGGGUAUCGACCCCCUCCGUGCCGGAGCUAACGCGGUAAGUACCCCGCCUGGGGAGUACGGCCGCAAGGUUGAAACUCAAAGGAAUUGACGG
rnacentral:rRNA from 1 species